rnacentral:lncRNA from 1 species
ACAAGAGCUAGUUCCAGGACAGCCUCCAAAAGCCACAGAGAAAACUCUGUCUCAAAAAACAAAAACAAAACAAACAAACAAAAAAAUCAAUGGGUCCAAUGCCAAUCCAUCAAAAACCACUCCAACAAAUUCACCCUGGUGUCCUAAGUUGUCAGACUUCCAGAAAGUUUUUUUUUUUUUUUGACAACUUCCAGGAAUCAUUCCACCGCAUGGGGCUCCAACUCAGAUCAUCAAGACCUAGGCAGAGGUGAAGGACAGGAAUUUAUUCCUCUGGGAAACAAGAGUUUAAACUCAAGACAGCAGCCCUACUGUCAGUGGAGAAGGGAGGCAUGAAGAAAACAGCAUCCCAAGGGAAGAAUGGGGAUCAGUAGGUGACAAUGGGCUAAGAGGAGGCCAUGCGGACUCAGAAAUACCUAGACAUCUUCUUCAUGCUGCUGACCAAGAUCCUCCUGAAGGAACUGAGAUUCAGAUGUAAACUGAAACUAGGGCAAGAGAUGGCUCAGUUGCUAGACUGCUUCCCCAGCAUGCAGGAAGCCCUGGGCUGGAUCCCCAGCACCACAUAAACCAAGCAUGUGGCACCCACUUGUGAUCCCAGCACUCACAGCGUGGAGAUAGGAGGAAGAUUGGGACUUCAAGGUCAUCCUCAGAUACAUAACUAUGAGAAAGCCAACAUGGUCACACACCACUCGUGGGAGGUGGUGCCAUCCUAUGGAAAAGAACUUGGCAAUGCUUAGUUUGCCCUUUGACCCACACCCCACUUCCAGGAACCUAUCCUAAAGAUCCAUGGCAAACAAUACAGAAAGUCCUGGGACAAGGUUAUUUACUGAAGCUCUCUGUGACAGUCAAGGCCUGGGAGGAAGCCAAAUAUCCAGAAUAAGAGAGUGGAUAUAACCAGCACAUCACACAAGAAACUGCUCUGAACCAUGGAAGGAACAAGGAAGACCUCUACGAAUAAAUACAAAGUGAACCUCGGGGCACCUUGUUAAAGGGAAAAACAUGACUGAGAAAGUGGGGGAGAUGCACUCAGAAACAAGUGUUUGUCUAGAAAGGAAGAAGACAAAAGGCAAAUUUGGAAGUGUCGCUAUGCACAUCCUCAUAAACAUAGGUGGUUUAAGUAGAGUCGUGUAGAGAGAAGAGACUCCAGAAUCCUUUAAGUGGACCUUAUUUUUGUAUGUGGCAUGACUCUAUUUGUUUUACAUAAUUAUAAAAUUAUAUUAGGGGCUGGGGAAAUAGCUCAGUGGGGCAAAAGCAUUUGUUGCCUUUGCAGAGGACCUGGGUUCAAUUCCCACCGCCCGCAUCCAAUGCCCUCUUCUGUCCUCCUUGGACACCAGGUAUUUACAUGGUACACAUACAUACCAUGUAAAUACCAUGCAGGCAAAGCAUUCAUACACAUAAAAUAAAAUGAAUAAAACUUUUUAAAAUUAAUAACAUUGCCGGGCGUUGGUGGCGCACGCCUUUAAUCUCAGCACUUGGGAAGCAGAGGCAGGUGGAUCUCUGUGAGUUUGAGACCAGCCUGGUCUACAAGAGCUAGUUCCAGGUCAGCCUCCAAAGCCACAGAGAAACCCUGUCUUGCAAAAACAAAAACAAAAA